AUGAAAGAAGAUAAUGGAAACUGGGAGUUUAAAGGAGGCAAUGAGAGAAUUUCAGGGUGCAGAACAAGGGUCCAGUGUGAGGUGCAGCUGGUGGAGUCUGGGGGAGGCCUAGUGCAGCCUGGAAAGUCCCUGAAACUCUCCUGUGCAGCCUCUGGAUUCACCUUCAGUAGCUAUGACAUGAACUGGGUCCGCCAGGCUCCAGGGAAAGGACUGGAGUGGGUCGCAUACAUUAGUAAUAGUGGUGGUACCAUCAGAUAUGCCGAUGCUGUGAAGGGCCGAUUCACCAUCUCCAGAGACAAUGCCAAGAACAGCCUGUACCUGGAAAUGAGCAGUCUGAAAUCUGAAGACACAGCCACGUAUUAUUGUGCCAGAAGCACAGUGGUACAAAUUGACUGUGGACUCAGACACAAACCUAUCGGGGGCUAG